rnacentral:rRNA from 1 species
GAUGAACGCUGGCGGCGUGCCUAAUACAUGCAAGUCGAGCGAAUGGAUUAAGAGCUUGCUCUUAUGAAGUUAGCGGCGGACGGGUGAGUAAUACGUGGGUAACCUGCCCAUAAGACUGGGAUAACUCCGGGAAACCGGGGCUAAUACCGGAUAACAUUUUGAACCGCAUGGUUCGAAAUUGAAAGGCGGCUUCGGCUGUCACUUAUGGAUGGACCCGCGUCGCAUUAGCUAGUUGGUGAGGUAACGGCUCACCAAGGCAACGAUGCGUAGCCGACCUGAGAGGGUGAUCGGCCACACUGGGACUGAGACACGGCCCAGACUCCUACGGGAGGCAGCAGUAGGGAAUCUUCCGCAAUGGGCGCAAGCCUGAUGCAGCAACGCCGCGUGAGUGAUGAAGGCUUUCGGGUCGUAAAACUCUGUUGUUAGGGAAGAACAAGUGCUAGUUGAAUAAGCUGACACCUUGACGGUACCUAACCAGAAAGCCACGGCUAACUACGUGCCAGCCGCCGCAGUAA